UACGUAGGGUCCGAGCGUUGUCCGGAAUUACUGGGCGUAAAGAGCUCGUAGGUGGUUUGUCGCGUUGUUCGUGAAAACUCACAGCUUAACUGUGGGCGUGCGGGCGAUACGGGCAGACUGGAGUACUGCAGGGGAGACUGGGAAUUCCUGGUGUAGCGGUGGAAUGCGCAGAUAUCAGGAGGAACACCGGUGGCGAAGGCGGGUCUCUGGGCAGUAACUGACGCUGAGGAGCGAAAGCAUGGGGAGCGAACGGG
rnacentral:rRNA from 1 species